UUAAAUUGAAGAGUUUGAUCAUGGCUCAGAUUGAACGCUGGCGGCAGGCCUAACACAUGCAAGUCGAACGGUAACAGGAAGCAGCUUGCUGCUUUGCUGACGAGUGGCGGACGGGUGAGUAAUGUCUGGGAAACUGCCUGAUGGAGGGGGAUAACUACUGGAAACGGUAGCUAAUACCGCAUAACGUCGCAAGACCAAAGAGGGGGACCUUCGGGCCUCUUGCCAUCGGAUGUGCCCAGAUGGGAUUAGCUUGUUGGUGGGGUAACGGCUCACCAAGGCGACGAUCCCUAGCUGGUCUGAGAGGAUGACCAGCCACACUGGAACUGAGACACGGUCCAGACUCCUACGGGAGGCAGCAGUGGGGAAUAUUGCACAAUGGGCGCAAGCCUGAUGCAGCCAUGCCGCGUGUAUGAAGAAGGCCUUCGGGUUGUAAAGUACUUUCAGCGGGGAGGAAGGGAGUAAAGUUAAUACCUUUACUCAUUGACGUUACCCGCAGAAGAAGCACCGGCUAACUCCGUGCCAGCAGCCGCGGUAAUACGGAG
rnacentral:rRNA from 1 species